AUUGAACGCUGGCGGCAGGCCUAACACAUGCAAGUCGAGCGGGGUUUUCGGACCUAGCGGCGGACGGGUGAGUAAUGCGUAGGAAGCUACCCGAUAGAGGGGGAUACCAGUUGGAAACGACUGUUAAUACCGCAUAAUGUCUACGGACCAAAGUGUGGGACCGUCGGGCCACAUGCUAUCGGAUGCGCCUACGUGGGAUUAGCUAGUUGGUGAGGUAAUGGCUCACCAAGGCGACGAUCCCUAGCUGGUUUGAGAGGAUGAUCAGCCACACUGGAACUGAGACACGGUCCAGACUCCUACGGGAGGCAGCAGUGGGGAAUAUUGGACAAUGGGCGCAAGCCUGAUCCAGCCAUGCCGCGUGUGUGAAGAAGGCCUUCGGGUUGUAUAGCACUUUCAGUAGGGAGGAAGCGUUGUGUGUUAAUAGUACACAGCGUUGACGUUACCUACAGAAGAAGCACCGGCUAACUCUGUGCCAGCCGCCGCAGUAAUAC
rnacentral:rRNA from 1 species